rnacentral:rRNA from 1 species
CCUACGGGUGGCAGCAGUGAGGAAUAGUGGUCAAUGGACGAGAGUCUGAACCAGUCAAGUAGCGUGAAGGAUGACUGCCCGAUGGGUUGUAAACUUCUGUUAUAGGGGAAUAAAAUGUUCCACGUGUGGGAUUUUGUAUGUACCAUAUGAAUAAGGAUCGGCUAACUCCGUGCCAGCAGCCGCGGUAAUACGGAGGAUCCGAGCGUUAUCCGGAUUUAUUGGGGUUAAAGGGAGCGUAGGUGGAUUGGUAAGUCAGUUGUGAAAGUUUGCGGCUCAACCGUAAAAUUUCAGUUGAAACUGGCAGUCUUUCGUACAGUCGAUUUGGGCGGCUUUCGUUGUGUAGCGGUUA